rnacentral:rRNA from 1 species
CAUGUGGUUUAAUUCGAUGCAACGCGAAGAACCUUACCUGGUCUGACAUCCACAGAACUUUCCAGAGAUGGAUUGGUGCCUUCGGGAACUGUGAGACAGGUGCUGCAUGGCUGUCGUCAGCUCGUGUUGUGAAAUGUUGGGUUAAGUCCCGCAACGAGCGCAACCCUUAUCUUUUGUUGCCAGCGGUCCGGCCGGGAACUCAAAGGAGACUGCCAGUGAUAAACUGGAGGAAGGUGGGGAUGACGUCAAGUCAUCAUGGCCCUUACGACCAGGGCUACACACGUGCUACAAUGGCGCAUACAAAGAGAAGCGACCUCGCGAGAGCAAGCGGACCUCAUAAAGUGCGUCGUAGUCCGGAUUGGAGUCUGCAACUCGACUCCAUGAAGUCGGAAUCGCUAGUAAUCGUGGAUCAGAAUGCCACGGUGAACACGUUCCCGGGCCUU